CGUUAAUAAUCAUGAACAUCGUAUCUUUCUUUAGGCGCAAUUAAUAAACCAUCAUGACUAUGGGUACGGUUCACGUGACAUAGUUAUGAUGCCUAAUUCCUAAAUUUGGGGGUGCAUUUCAUGUGACCCGAUUAUAACAACUUCUAAUAAUAAAACCCUUUGAAAUAAUUUGAGGUGUGCCAUGCCAAAUAAAAUCCCUAAGUCCAUGGCCCUCAUAAAACUAGCUAGCUUUUAUAGAAAAAUUGAGGUGUGACAUGUUGAAUAAAAUCCCAAAACCCAUGGCCCUCACUUAAUUAAUUUUUAACUCUUUUAAAAUCGAGGUGUGCCAUCAAUUGAAUUUUUUAUGGCCCUCGCAAACCUGAAAGCGCGUAGUUGCUUUAGGCGCGCUAUUUAAAUUAAUUUCCUUAAACUCGGGUGUGCAUUUCAUGUGACUCAAAUCCAAAUCUUAACAACGUCAAAUAGAAUAUGUCUCAGACUGCGGGUGCAUUUCAUGUGGCGCGGUCAAAAGACGUAUUUUGGUUGACAUUGAAAUCUUCCUAAUAAUAAAUAAAAGCGGUUAUAAAGUUAAAAGGCACAUAGGUUCAAAAUGUUCUAAAAUCAGAUAAUAUGUCAAUAAUGACAGUUGAGCGACCGUGCUAGAACUACGGAACCUGGGAAUGCCUAACACCUUCUCCCGGGUUAACAGAAUUCCUUGUCCGGAUUUCUGUGUUCGCGGACUGUAAAACAGAGUCAAUCUUUCUUCGAUUCGGGAUUUGAAACUGGUGACUUGGGACACCAUAAAUUAUCCCAAGUGGCGAAUCUGAAUUUAAAAAUUGAUAAUCCCAUUUCGAUUGUCACUUUAAUUGGAAAAACUCCCUACAUCCCCUCUCGGGUGUGUAAAAAGGAGGUGUGAUAACAAAGGCGAUGUUGCUGGGGAUCGAACCCAGAAUCUCUGGUUCAGGGUUCAAGAAUUCGAGCUUAGAAUAAUUGUUAUAUUUGGCUAUAUUUAUUAUCUGAUUUUAUUACAUGUUUGAGCCUAAUAUGCUAAAUGUUGCUUUUACCGCUUUGAUAUUAUCUGAACUGUAUAUAAACUGAUACAAAACUCUUCCUCUCUCUGAGUCUUCUAAAUCAUGGAGAAGUGUGCACUUCGUGUGACUUCUCUUCUGUUAGAGUCAUAUCCCAAAUUUUAGAACGAGGUUUGGACAAGUUGCAAAGCCGGUGAAGCUUCUGUAUUCCCGGUACGCUGCCUCCCCCAUCGGCUCGAGCUGUCCGCUUGGGUAAGCCAGGUCUAGAACAAAUAAACCCAGGUUUUUAAACCUAGUAUAGCAUAGCCUAAUGUCGGAUCCCUAGUAGGAACGCUUGUUUGCAUCAUAUGCAUUUUGACUUUGGGACUCAACACAGGGGUUGGGUCCGUCUAGGACAAGUGUACCCAAAAAUCAAAAGACCAUCUUGAUGCAUCUUACGUGCUACUUGCGUAUCUGUCUGUUUCGGCUUGCAUGUUGACUGGCUUCUAGAAUAGGGAAAGAAAAAUGAAAAAAAAAACGAAAUAAAAAAAAGGAAGAAAUAAGNNNNNNNNNNNNNNCCCCAAUUUUCAAAAAUCCAAAAAAAUAUUUUCCAUUACUUGCUUCUUUAGAAAGCCUUUCUUUUAGACCCUAAUACAAAAAUAUUUUCUUUUAAUUUAUUCCAAAAAUCCAAAAAAAUAUUUUCAUUCUUCUUUCAAAAUUGAGAAGAAAAUUCAAAAUUCAAAAUAUUUUCUUUGUUUUAGAAAAAUUUCUUUCAUAAAUUCAAAAUAAAAUUCCUAAAAUAUUUUCUUUCUUCUUUAAAAGUUUUUCUUUCGAAAUUCCAAAAAAAAAAUCCAAAAAAUAUCUUUCUUCUUUAGAAGUCUUUCUUUGCAAAAAUGCUGAAGAAAAAUCAAAAUCAAAAUAUUCCAUUUCUUCUUUAUAAGCCUUUCUUUCGAAAAAUCAAAGAAAAAAGUCAAAAAAAAGUUAGUUUAUUUACUUUAUUCAUGAUCUUCCCGAACUACGCAAGAUCUGAUUCAUGUUCCCACAUGAUACAUAGGCAACCCCCAUCAGGUUCGAUCACCAUUAAAAAGAAAUGAAAAAAAUGAAGAAAUGAAAAAACACUGAUAAUAAUAAGGACCGACUGAGUCCAUUCUAACAUAUUUUGUUUUGAAUUGUGAAGAAAGUUGAGGUGGUCGGUUUGUGGUAAGCUGGAAACACAAGAUCCAAGGAAAAAUGAUAACUGACAUCGAAACUAUUACAAGUGCUCAAAAGACUCAGGGUCAGAGGGUUCAACAAGAGUCUACUGUGUUUGAGAAAAAUAGAAUACUGAAACAGCAAAUGACUGAAAUGUGUCAAGCAUGGGCCAGUGAUCAAGGACAGCCUCGUCAUGAGUCACAAUUUACUACACAGCGAGCAAUACCACUCUCCUGAGUACCACUCGUACUUGUUUGACUUUCCUGCAAACAUUGAGAAGCCUGCCCGAAAGAUGGUACAUGAAGAAAUGACCCAAAGAGCGAAAAGCUUAGAACAAUGGUUGAAAAACAUGCAAGGGUUGGCAUGUCAAAAGAGUAUUGCCUUCAAAGAUCUAUGUAUGUUCCCCGAUGUCCACUUGCCGCCUGGUUUCAAGACUCCCAAAUUUGAAAAGUAUGAUGGACAUGGAGAUCCUAUAGCCCACCUGAAAAGGUAUUGCAACCAAUUGAGAGGUGCGGGAAGAAAUGAAGAAUUGUUAAUAGCUUAUUUUGGGGAAAGCCUUACAGGAGUAGCAUCCGAAUGGUUUAUGGAUCAAGACACAUCUCGCUUGUAUGUCUGGGAUGACAUGGCACAGGCCUUUGUCAAACAGUUCCAAUACAAUAUUGACAUUGCCCCAGACCGCAAUUCCCUUUCAAACUUGAAGAAAAAACCAACUAAAAGUUUCAGGGAAUAUGCCAUUAAAUGGAGAGCAAGCAGCCAGAGUUAAGCCACCCAUGGAUGAGCACGAGUUAAUGAUUGUGUUCCUUCAGGCUCAAGAGCCAGAUUAUUUUCAAAACAUGAUGUCCGCAGUAGGUAAAUCUUUCUCGGAAGCAAUCAAAAUGGGGGAAAUAAUUGAGAAUGGUCUUAAGAAAGACAAAAUUAUAAGUCAAGCAAUUCUCAAAGCCGCAACUCAGGCUGUCCCGAUUAAAUCCGAUAAUUUCAGUGGCACGAAUGAGAAGGAUGAAGAAAUCAUGAUGACAACAGGUUUGAGAAGAGGUCCCAGGAAAACACCUCGAAGGUAUGUACAACCUCAUUAGGUUUUCCAUGACUCCCCUGAGCAUUGCUAUCCACCUCAGAAUCCACAAUACUUUGUCGCUCCGCAUCAGUAUGUUGUCCAGCCACCAAAACACCCCAGAAGGCGAUCACGAGCAUCACAAAAUCUCCACCAGCUUCCACAAAAUUUUUAGGUACCCUAUAACCCACAUCCAGGCCAGAGGUAUAGAGGGGAACAAAAGUUGAAAGAUAAUUUUACACCAAUAGGAGAGUCCUAUGCAAGCUUGUUUGAGAAGUUAAAGCAUUAUGACAUGAUUGCACCUAUUCCUCCAAAUCAUGUGGACCCACGUGCAUGAAGCUUUGGCCCUUCUAAAAGGUGUGAAUACCAUUACAAUGCCCAGGGACACAAUGUUGAAAGCUGUCGGGAUUUGAAAAGAGAAAUAGAAAGGAUGAUCCAGGAAAUCCUGAUUGUGAUCCAAGACAGUGAUACCCAGAAUAUCGCACAGAAUCCUUUACCUGUACAUGAUGAUGCACACUUUGUGGGGAUGAUGCGUGGUGACAGGGAGUAUGAGAAUCCUCUUAGGAAUUUGUUAACUGAAGUUAAUGAUGUUGAAAUUGGAGAAGGCUCUGCUGAUUCUGAUAAGCAAAUUUGCGGCUAAAUGUCAAGCCUAGCAAUUGAAAAGUCAUUCCCUCUGUCACACCUCCUUUUUCCGUCCCCGCGAGGGUAUAAGGAGUUUUUUCCAAUUAAAGGACAAUCGAAACGGGAUUUAUUUAUUUAUUUCAUAGUCGCCACUUGGAAGAUUUAGGGUGUCCCAAGUCACCAAUUUAAAUCCCGAAUCGAGGAAAAGAAUGACUCUGUAUUACAGUCCGCGAACCAGAAAUCCGGAUAAGGAAUUCUGUUAACCCGGGAGAAGGUGUUAGGCAUUCCCGAGUUCUGUGGUUCUAGCACGGUCGCUCAAUUGUCAUAUUCGGCUUAUUUAUCUGAUUUUUAUACAAUUAUGCGCUCUUGUGCAAGUUUUAACUCUUUACCACUUUUAUUAUUAUAUUUUAAAAAAAUGUGAACAUUGUUUAAAAAGAACAUGUGUUUGGAUUACGUCGCAUAAAAUGCACCCGUAAUCCGGAACACAUUUUUUAUUCAAUGUUUUGGGAUUUGGAUUUGGGUCGCAUGAAAUGCGCACCUGAGUUUAAGAAGGUAAGAUUAAUUAAAUCGCGCGCCUAAAGCAAUUAGCGUAUUAUUAUUUCUGGGUAAGGCCGUGGAAUUUUGCUAAACGGCUCAUCCCGAAGUCUAAGUAAUUUUAAUUAAACAUUUAUCGAGGGCCCCGCAAUUUGUGCGUUUUAUUGGGCGAGGCUCAUCUCAUUUAUUUUAAAAGGAUAAUCCUAAAGUGCAUACAUUUUUUCUAUUAAAAUUGUCUCUACGAAAUGAAAAAGAAAAGGUCUUAAUUUAUUUACAUGCUUGAGUUGUUAUAGUUAGGUUUCGAAUAUGAUUCAUAAAUCCUGACAAUGAUGCAAGCAGGGCAGUCCGUUGCCAAUGCGGGCCUAGACCCAACAUGUAUGGCNN
rnacentral:lncRNA from 1 species